rnacentral:rRNA from 1 species
ACGCACGCUGGCGGCAUGCCUAACACAUGCCAGUCGAACGAGACCUUCGGGUCUAGUGGCGCACGGGUGCGUAACGCGUGGGAACCUGCCCUUAGGUUCGGAAUAACUCCCCGAAAGGGGUGCUAAUACCGGAUAAUGUCUUCGGACCAAAGAUUUAUCGCCUUUGGAUGGGCCCGCGUUGGAUUAGCUAGUUGGUAGGGUAAAAGCCUACCAAGGCGACGAUCCAUAGCUGGUCUGAGAGGAUGAUCAGCCACACUGGGACUGAGACACGGCCCAGACUCCUACGGGAGGCAGCAGUGGGGAAUAUUGGACAAUGGGCGAAAGCCUGAUCCAGCAAUGCCGCGUGAGUGAUGAAGGCCUUAGGGUUGUAAAGCUCUUUUACCCGGGAUGAUAAUGACAGUACCGGGAGAAUAGCUCCGGCUAACUCCGUG